rnacentral:rRNA from 1 species
UUUCCCGGGGAGCUUGCUCCACCGGAAAAACAGGAGUGGCGAACGGGUGAGUAACACGUGGGUAACCUGCCCAUCAGAAGGGGAUAACACUUGGAAACAGGUGCUAAUACCGUAUAACAAUCGAAACCGCAUGGUUUUGAUUUGAAAGGCGCUUUCGGGUGUCGCUGAUGGAUGGACCCGCGGUGCAUUAGCUAGUUGGUGAGGUAACGGCUCACCAAGGCCACGAUGCAUAGCCGACCUGAGAGGGUGAUCGGCCACAUUGGGACUGAGACACGGCCCAAACUCCUACGGGAGGCAGCAGUAGGGAAUCUUCGGCAAUGGACGAAAGUCUGACCGAGCAACGCCGCGUGAGUGAAGAAGGUUUUCGGAUCGUAAAACUCUGUUGUUAGAGAAGAAUAAGGAUGAGAGUAACUGUUCAUCCCUUGACGGUAUCUAACCAGAAAGCCACGGCUAACUACGUGCCAGCAGCCGCGGUAAUACGUAGGUGGCAAGCGUUGUCCGGAUUUAUUGGGCGUAAAGCGAGCGCAGGCGGUUUCUUAAGUCUGAUGUGAAAGCCCCCGGCUCAACCGGGGAGGGUCAUUGGAAACUGGGAGACUUGAGUGCAGAAGAGGAGAGUGGAAUUCCAUGUGUAGCGGUGAAAUGCGUAGAUAUAUGGAGGAACACCAGUGGCGAAGGCGGCUCUCUGGUCUGUAACUGACGCUGAGGCUCGAAAGCGUGGGGAGCAAACAGGAUUAGAUACCCUGGUAGUCCACGCCGUAAACGAUGAGUGCUAAGUGUUGGAGGGUUUCCGCCCUUCAGUGCUGCAGCUAACGCAUUAAGCACUCCGCCUGGGGAGUACGACCGCAAGGUUGAAACUCAAAGGAAUUGACGGGGGCCCGCACAAGCGGUGGAGCAUGUGGUUUAAUUCG